rnacentral:rRNA from 1 species
CCUACGGGAGGCAGCAGUGGGGAAUAUUGCGCAAUGGGCGAAAGCCUGACGCAGCGACGCCGCGUGAGGGAUGAAGGUCCUAGGAGUGUAAAACUCUGUCAGUAGGGAAGUACGGUCAUUGUGGUAAUCAGCAGUGAAUUGACGGUACCUGCAAAGGAAGCACCGGCUAACUCCGUGCCAGCAGCCGCGGUAAUACGGAGGGGUCGUGCGUUAAUCGGAUUUACUGGGCGUAAAGGGCUCGUAGGCGGUAUGUCAAGUCAAGGGUGAAAUCCCCGCGCUCAACGUGGGAACUGCCUUUGAAACUGGCAGACUGGAGUGUGUUAGAGGAUAGUGGAAUUCCAGGUGUAGGAGUGAAAUCCGUAGAUAUCUGGAGGAACAUCAGUGGCGAAGGCGACUAUCUGGCACAUAACUGACGCUGGGGAGCGAAAGCGUGGGUAGCAAACAGGAUUAGAUACCCCAGUAGUC